rnacentral:rRNA from 1 species
UACGGAGGGUGCAAGCGUUGCUCGGAAUUAUUGGGCGUAAAGGGUAGGUAGGUGGUCUCAUUUGUCUGGGGUGAAAGCCUUGAGCUUAACUCAAGAAGUGCCUCGGAAACGGUGAGACUAGAGUCCUGGAGAGGGUCGUGGAAUUCCUGGUGUAGCGGUGGAAUGCGCAGAUAUCAGGAGGAACACCGGUGGCGAAGGCGGGUCUCUGGGCAGUAACUGACGCUGAGGAGCGAAAGCGUGGGGAGCGAACAGG